rnacentral:tRNA from 1 species
GGGCCCGUAGCUUAGCCUGGUUUGAGCGUUCGACUGAUAAUCGAAAGGUCAUGAGUUCAAAUCUCAUCGGGCCCA